rnacentral:rRNA from 1 species
AACGAACGCUGGCGGCGUGCCUAACACAUGCAAGUCGUGCGAGAAAGUUCCUUCGGGAGCGAGUAAAGCGGCGCACGGGUGAGUAACACGUAGGUAACCUGCCCCCCAGUCUGGAACAACUAGAGGAAACUCUAGCUAAUGCCGGAUGAGACCACGAUCCCUUCGGGGGUUGCGGGCCCAAAAGAUGGCCUCUACUUGUAAGCUAUCGCUGAGGGAUGGGCCUGCGGGCCAUUAGCUUGUUGGUGAGGUAACGGCUCACCAAGGCUGUGAUGGCUAGCUGGUCUGAGAGGAUGACCAGCCACACUGGGACUGAGACACGGCCCAGACUCCUACGGGAGGCAGCAGUGGGGAAUAUUGCGCAAUGGGCGAAAGCCUGACGCAGCGACGCCGCGUGGGUGAUGAAGGCC